GACAGGAAGGGCGAGUGUUAUUCAUCACUAUUGGGUGUAAAGGGUAUGUAGGCUUUUUUUAGAUUUUAAUAUAAAAUUCUAUAUAUAAUAUAUAGUGUGUAUUAUAAUUUUCAAAAUUGAAUUUAUAUGAAGAAUAUACUAAAUUUAGUGUAAAGGUUUAAUUUGUAGAUAUUAAAAGGAGUGCCACAAGGUGAAGACAAUAUUCUUAUAUAAAUUGACGCUAAGGUACGAAAGCAUAAGUUUCAAACAGG
rnacentral:rRNA from 1 species